rnacentral:rRNA from 1 species
CGCGGCCUAUCAGCUUGUUGGUGAGGUAACGGCUCACCAAGGCAUCGACGGGUAGCUGGUCUGAGAGGACGAUCAGCCACACUGGGACUGAGACACGGCCCAGACUCCUACGGGAGGCAGCAGUAGGGAAUCUUGCGCAAUGGGCGAAAGCCUGACGCAGCCACGCCGCGUGGGGGACGAAGGCCCUCGGGUUGUAAACCCCUUUCAGCAGGGACGAAAAUGACGGUACCUGCAGAAGAAGCUCCGGCCAACUACGUGCCAGCAGCCGCGGUAACACGUAGGGGGCAAGCGUUGUCCGGAUUUAUUGGGCGUAAAGGGCUCGUAGGCGGUUUGGUAAGUCGGGUGUGAAAUCUCAGGGCUCAACCCUGAGAAGCCAUCUGAUACUGCCAUGACUAGAGUUCGGUAGAGGAGCGUGGAAUUUCCGGUGUAGCGGUGAAAUGCUCAGAUAUCGGGAGGAACACCAGCAGCGAAGGCGGCGCUCUGGGCCGAAACUGACGCUGAGGAGCGAAAGCGUGGGUAGCAAACAGGAUUAGAUACCCUGGUAGUCCACGCCGUAAACGGUGGGCACUAGGUGUGGGGCCUAAUCAACGGGUUCCGUGCCGUAGCUAACGCAUUAAGUGCCCCGCCUGGGGAGUACGG